AUUGAACGCUGGCGGCAGGCCUAACACAUGCAAGUCGAACGGUAACAGGAAGAAGCUUGCUUCUUUGCUGACGAGUGGCGGACGGGUGAGUAAUGUCUGGGAAACUGCCUGAUGGAGGGGGAUAACUACUGGAAACGGUAGCUAAUACCGCAUAACGUCGCAAGACCAAAGAGGGGGACCUUCGGGCCUCUUGCCAUCGGAUGUGCCCAGAUGGGAUUAGCUAGUAGGUGGGGUAACGGCUCACCUAGGCGACGAUCCCUAGCUGGUCUGAGAGGAUGACCAGCCACACUGGAACUGAGACACGGUCCAGACUCCUACGGGAGGCAGCAGUGGGGAAUAGUGCGCAAUGGGCGCAAGCCUGAUGCAGCCAUGCCGCGUGUAUGAAGAAGGCCUUCGGGUUGUAAAGUACUUUCAGCGGGGAGGAAGGGAGUAAAGUUAAUACCUUUGCUCAUUGACGUUACCCGCAGAAGAAGCACCGGCUAACUCCGUG
rnacentral:rRNA from 1 species